UGUUCAAACGCCACUCCCAGACUGGGCACUCGGCAUGAGGGGUGCGUGCCUUCAGGAACCGUUCAGAUCCUUCCAACUCAGUCACCCACUGGUGCAUGUACCGGGGGGCCGCAUCAGGCACAGCAGGACUGCACAGCUGUGUCCCACAGGCGGAGCCAGACAGUGAAGCUCAUCGGAAAAGCCUUCCAAGGGAAAUAACACGAGGCGGGGGUCUGAGAGGGCAAUUGCAGCUGUAACUAGGACAGCCAAGGACGGCCUCGUGGGGUAACAUGGGAUCUAAGACAGGAGGAGGUUUCAAGAAACUGCGCAGAUCUGAAGCAGCAGCACCCCAGGCCGCACAAGCAGCACACACCGGGGCCCUCUGGCAGCUGCUGUGUUUAAUGAAUGAGGAGGAGGUGGUGUGGCUUGGUGAGGGACACCAGGAGGAAAUGAGAUCGAAGGGUCGGAGCGUGGAUCUGUGGACCAUGGGAACCCUGGAAGCACUCGGAAGGAUGGGGCCUGGUGGAGCAGGACUGGGAAAGCUGGGAAGCCGGGUCGAGGUGUGGGGCAUAGAGGCACCCUCAGACGUCCACACGGUCCAUUGGCCUCCGGGGUCCUCUGUUCCUGCUCUCCCUCAAGCCAUGGGAGCUUGGCAAGUGAGCUGGGCCUCCACUUCCUUAUCUAUGACAUAGGGAGGGUGCAGGCCCCCCUGAGGAGGUGGGACUUGGGGCUGGCGGAGGGGGAAUGUAGGGCAGAUGGUUCCAACAGGCCAGAGGCCGGCUGGUGUCAGGCAUCAGCAGCCUCCUCCUCAGAGUCCAGGUCUGCUGCUGCCUUUGUGCCCACGGUCUUCACGCCCUGCGCGGGGACCAACAAUGCCCUGGCUCCUGAGGGCUGCUUUUGACCUGUGCGGGGAGCAGCCCCAACUUGGGAUGGGGUCUUAGGGGCUUCUGGACCUGCCUUUUCCUGACAAUUCAGGUCAGAGUCUCAAGUCCCCUGGGAGGGGCCCCAAGCAGCUGUGAGGCCUGGGUGCUCAGAGCCCACUGACCGCUAGCCUUGUGCUUGUCCCCAGCGGCAAGCCUGCACGAGCUGUGUGCUGCCAGAGUGUCAGAGGUCCUUCAAAACAGAGUACACAGGACGGAGGAAGUGAAGCAUGUGGACUUCUAUGCUUUCUCCUACUAUUACGACCUUGCAGCUGGUGUGGGACUCAUAGAUGCGGAGAAGGGAGGCAGCCUGGUGGUGGGGGACUUCGAGAUCGCAGCCAAGUACGUGUGUCGGACCCUGGAGACACAGCCACAGAGCGGCCCCUUCGCGUGCAUGGACCUCACCUACGUCAGCCUGCUACUCCAGGAGUUCGGCUUUCCCAGGAGCAAAGUGCUGAAGCUCACUCGGAAAAUUGACAAUGUUGAGACCAGCUGGGCUCUGGGGGCCAUUUUUCAUUACAUCGACUCCCUGAACAGACAGAAGAGUCCAGCCUCAUAGUGGCCGAGCCAUCCCUGUCCCCGUCAGCAGUGUCUGUGUGUCUGCAUAAACCCUCCUGUCCUGGACGUGACUUCAUCCUGAGGAGCCACAGCACAGGCCGUGGUGGCACUUUCUGCACACUGGCUGUGGGACUUGCACAAGGCCUGGUGCUGCCCUGGCAUCAUCCUCUUCCAGUCACAUCUGGCCAGAGGGCUGUCUGGACCUGGGGCCUGCUCAAUGCCACCUGUCUGCCUGGGCUCCAAGUGGGCAGGACCAGGACAGAACCACAGGCACACACUGAGGGGGCAGUGUGGCUCCCUGCCUGUCCCAUCCCCAUGCCCCGUCCGCGGGGCUGUGGCUGCUGCUGUGCGUGUCCCUGCGAUGGGAGUCUUGUCUCCCAGCCUGUCAGUUUCCUCCCCAGGGCAGAGCUCCCCUUCCUGCGAGAGUCUGGGAGGCGGUGCAGGCUGUCCUGGCUGCUCUGCGGAAGCCGAGGGACAGUCAUCACACUCCCAGGACAGUAGGUCUGGGCGGCACCACUGGGAACUCUGGACUUGAGUGUGUUUGCCUCUUCCUUGGGUAUGAAUGUGUGAGUUCACCCAGAGGCCUGCUCUCCUCACACGUUGUGUGGUUUGGGGUUAAUGAUGGAGGGAGACACCUCCUCAUGGACGGCAGGUGCCCACCCUUCAGGGAGUCUCCCAGCAUGGGCAGAUGCCGGGCAUGAGCUGCUGUAAACUAUUUGUGGCUGUGCUGCUUGAGUGAAGUCUCUGUCGUGUGGGUGCCAAGUGCUUGUGUAGAAACUGUGUUCUGAGCCCCCUUUUCUGGACACUGACUGUGUCCUGUGAAUGUAUCGCUACUGUGAGCCGUUCCCGCCUAGCCAGGGCCAUGUCUUAGAUGCAGCUGUGCCGCGGGUCAGCUGAGCCACAGUCCCAGAACCAAGCUCUUGGUGUCUCGGGCCACAAUCCGCCCACCUCGGGCUGACCCCACCUCCUCCAUGGACAGUGUGAGCCCUGGGCCGUGCAUCCUGCUCAGUGUGGUGUGGGUGCCGGGGCCAAGCCCAUUGAGCUGCUUCAGUGAAUGUACAGUGCCCAGCACGAGCUGAACCUCAUGUGUUCCACUCCCAAUAAAAGGUUGACAGGGGCUUCCCCUUCUCUGG
rnacentral:sRNA from 1 species